AAAAUAUCAUGCUCUCUCUGGGGUCUUCGCAGUCAAUGUGAGAAUGGAAAUAAUGCCUUUCUAAGUGGAACUGAGCUUCAACUUUGAAGAGAUGCUAUAGAUUUCUGAGGGAGCAAGAGCUUGUGUCUGGAACCCAGCAUCUCCAUGUGGUUAACAGCUUCUAAAAUUUAUCUCAUGUGUUUAAGGUUUUUUGUAUAAAUUUAAGGGACUUCACAUUUCUAACCAGUGUGUUAACACUUAGAUUAAGACCACACUUACAUACCCUUUUCUUACUUAUGAGCAAUUAAAUGGUGUACUAACAAGAAGAAAGUUACUUUAUUUACAGUGUUGAUGGAAAAA
rnacentral:lncRNA from 1 species